ensembl:lncRNA
CGCCUCAGGGAGCGCCGGGGCCGCAGCGGAGCUGAGGGGGAGCGGCGCCUCAGGGAGCGCCGGGGCCGCAGCGGAGCUGAGGGGGAGCGGCGCCUGCGGGGCUGGAGGAGCCCGAGGGGGCUGAGGGAUCCCAGGCAAUCUGAAGGAGCUGGGGGCUGAGAACUGGAAUUGCCGGGGCUGGAGGAACGGUGUCUGGUGCUGCGGGGCUGAGGGAGCCGGGGGGGUUGGAGGGGUUCAGACGGGGCUGGUGGGGCCCGAGGGGAGCUUGAGGAACGAGGCUGUGGAGGAGCCCCAGGGGCUGUGGAGGAGCCCCAGGGGCUGUAGAGGAGCCCCAGGGGCUGUGGAGGAGCCAUGGGAGGUUUGAGGGAGCCCUUAACUGGUGUGCACUGAGCUCAAGGGUUGCUCUGGGGUAGCUGGAUAAAUGUGGGCUUUGCUAUGCCACCUCCCCCAGCCGUCCCUGUCAGCAGGCAGUUUGAACUCUGUAAAACACAGUUACAAGAGCAAGGAAGAGAGAGGGGGAGGAAAAAAAGCCAUGCGGCUUGUUUUUCCUUAAAGCAUUACCGAUGAUUUGCAUAAUAGAAACAUGCAGGAUCCUUUCUUGCUUUGCCUUUAAACUUGCUGCUGGUAUUUGAACCCAGCAUAUUUUUCUCUAUAUUGUGCUGAAAUAUUCCAGCUGUUUGCAGUUUCCAGGCAGGAUGCUCACACACUGCCUCUGGAUUUGAUAUUCCAUCCCCUCUUCUGAUACUUGUAAAAACUGCUGCCCUGUGACCUGUUUCCCUUCUGACAACAUGAAGAAUUAAAUUAAUACAGACCUUUUCUUUCACAGUUACUCACUGCUUUCAACAUUCCAGACUGUGGUGGAUUGAUUCAGUGCCCCAGCAUACAAGUAUUUAUCAUCUUUGGAGAAGCAGGCACUGCAAAGGCCUAUCAGGAGAGAUGUGGGCUGAAAAUGGAUGGUUGGCAUUAGAUUGUUAUGCUGAUUUUCACCUGUCACAAACUGUUCCAGACAAAAGCUUCAGAGGGAGAAGGUUCCUGGUGACCAGACAUGUUCUGCCUCUUCACAAAGAGAAUUUCACCCCAAAUUUGUUACCCCUUAAGCUCAAGAGUCAAGUAAAACCUGGCCAAUGGGAAAUUCCACAUGCUGACCCCUUUGAAAGGACUCCUGGCAUUUGAGGGAGAAGUUACUGCCAACACUUCCCUAAGGAAUGGGAGCUACUGGAGCUGCAGUGGGAACAGACUCAUCUUUGCCACCAGCACAGAGCAAAUCCUUCUUGAGCAGACUGCCCCCAUCAGAAAAGAUCUGCACAAAAUGUUCAUAGACAUGAAGCCAGAAAAGCUGAGUGAAGUUGAGAGGGAUUAACAGUGAAAUUUGGUCUGGCCACUUGCAAAGCUGUAAAGUGCAGCAGGAUGGAGUUUGCUUUUCCAUUUGGGAGCUGUGGAAGUCUGAGGAGGAUGCUCUGUUUGGAAUGGAGAAGGAAGGUCUGUUGAUUACAGAUCUGUUGUCUGGCUCAUCAAACCUUUGGAUAUUAUAAGAAAUACAAGAAAUACAGUUAAAAAGUUGAACAAAUAAAUGUGUACAAUGGAUAGAGAUCCCCCA